GACGGAUUGUAGAUAUGCCGAUACUGAUCUGCCUGUUAGAGUUUAUUUGUUUUUACGAAGUAUCGGUAUACUGCUUCUAUCCAUUGUAAAUGAUUUUAAGCAAGUUUGUGUUCCCUAUUCUUAUUGAUUCCAGUGACUUUCCUGGUCUUGCCCUUUUUCUCUCAAUUGGUAAGGGCUACAAACACACAAACUUGUAAGACCAGAAAAAAGUUCUAGUUUAAUAAAUUAAAAUUAUUAGAGUCGUCAGCCACAAGAAAGUAGUACAACUGCUCUAAUAAAAAGAAGCUUGAUUGUGCUGUCAAGAAUUUCAAGUUAUGUAAUAAUAACUUUGUUUAAUUUGAGUAUUUAAGGUUUCAAAGAUAAGUAUUUCUACGACACUAAAAAAAGUGAUACAGCAAUUUUAUGUUUAAUACAUGCAGGUAAAUAUUAC